UACGGAGGAUCCGAGCGUUAUCCGGAUUUAUUGGGUUUAAAGGGUGCUCAGGCGGGCCAUUAAGUCGGCGGUGAAAUUUUGCGGCUCAACCGUAAAAGUGCCUUCGACACUGGUGGUCUUGAGUGUGGAUGAGGUAGGCGGAAUUUGUGGUGUAGCGGUGAAAUGCAUAGAUAUCACGAGGAACUCCGAUUGCGCAGGCAGCUUACUAAACUACUACUGACGCUCAGGCACGAAGGCGUGGGGAUCAAACAGGAUUAGAUACCCUGGUA
rnacentral:rRNA from 1 species